rnacentral:lncRNA from 1 species
GAAGGGAAGCAUAUCAAUGUAUCUACAAAGUUUCAUUUCUUCUUGCAGUCCAACUCUCUUGGGGGACCUGAGAUGCUGGGAUGGCACCAAGUCUGGACAAAGAGCCCUCCCCACAGAGAAGAAGGAGAUUGAAAAUGGGGUGCCAUGAAAUAUUUCAACAGUAUUGAUGUUAAAAGGAAAAAAUACUUGAAGUCCAGUGAACACAAACUGUGAAAUGAAAGCCUGAGACCUUAACUUCAAAGACUAACUACAUAGAAG